GUCCCCUUCGUCUAGCGGUUAGGACAUCGCCCUCUCAAGGCGAAAACACGGGUUCAAUUCCCGUAGGGGACGCCA
rnacentral:tRNA from 1 species